rnacentral:tRNA from 1 species
GCUUUCGUGGUAUAUUUGGAAACACAUCCGGUUGGUAGUCGGGAGGUCCAGAGUUCGAAUAUCUGCGAAGAUA